GACGAACGCUGGCGGCGUGCUUAACACAUGCAAGUCGAACGGAAAGGCCUCUUUCGGGGGGUACUCGCGUGGCGAACGGGUGAGUAACACGUGAGUAACCUGCCCUUGACUCUGGGAUAACUUCAGGAAACUGGGGCUAAUACCGGAUAGGAGCUCCUGCUGCAUGGUGGGGGUUGGAAAGUUUCUGCGGUUGGGGAUGGACUCGCGGCUUAUCAGCUUGUUGGUGGGGUAGUGGGUUACCAAGGCGUUGACGGGUAGCCGGCCUGGGAGGGUGAGCGGCCACAUUUGGACUGAGAUACGGGCCAGACUCCUACGGGAGGCAGCGGUGGGGAAUAUUGCACAAUGGGUGGAAGCCUGAUGCAGCAACGCCGUGUGCGGGAUGACGGCCUUCGGGUUGUAAACCGCUUUCGCUCAUGACGAAGCGUUGUGUGACGGUAGUGGGUAAAGAAGCACCGGCUAACUACGUG
rnacentral:rRNA from 1 species